rnacentral:rRNA from 1 species
CCUACGGGAGGCACCAGUGGGGAAUAUUGCACAAUGGGCGCAAGCCUGAUGCAGCCAUGCCGCGUGUAUGAAGAAGGCCUUCGGGUUGUAAAGUACUUUCAGCGGGGAGGAAGGUGUUGUGGCUAAUAACCACAGCAAUUGACGUUACCCGCAGAAGAAGCACCGGCUAACUCCGUGCCAGCAGCCGCGGUAAUACGGAGGGUGCAAGCGUUAAUCGGAAUUACUGGGCGUAAAGCGCACGCAGGCGGUCUGUCAAGUCGGGUGUGAAAUCCCCGGGCUCAACCUGGGAACUGCAUUCGAAACUGGCAGGCUAGAGUCUUGUAGAGGGGGGUAGAAUUCCAGGUGUAGCAGUGAAAUGCGUAGAGAUCUGGAGGAAUACCGGUGGCGAAGGCGGCCCCCUGGACAAAGACUGACGCUCAGGUGCGAAAGCGUGGGGAGCAAACAGGAUUAGAUACCCUCGUAGUC